UGAGGCGACAAAAUGGCGGCGGGCGGAGAGCGCGGGAAGGGCCCGCGGCGCCCUGAGGGCCGCUCGUUCCCUUCCCGUCCCCCUCACCGUCCCAUUUUGAAGUGUUUUUUUCCCCUCACAGCGUGAAGAUUUUGGGGUCAACGCUGCUCUUUCCUCCCCCUCCACACGCGCCCUCCCAGGUGGGUAUUUCGAUAGCUUGAUGCCUAAUUUCUCCCCCUCCACUUCUCUCCUCCGCAGGGGUUGCAAUCGCUGUCCUCACCGCGUGGAAAAUGCCCAAUUAAAAAAACAAAAACAAAAAAAAAAAAAAAAAAAAAAGCAAAACAACGCUAAAAAAGCCCCAAACAGCCGAGGACUGAGGGAAGGAACUGCCUCCUCACGGCCACCGUUCUGGUAAUUAAAAACAUACAUGUGGUGAGAUCAGAUGUGGUAAUACUGUUAAAAAGAAAAAAAAAAAAUCCUGUCAUAUUCUUGUGCUGCAGCUGCAAUACCACACAUCUUUCUGUGCUUUUUUUUUUUAUUGUUUGUAAUGCUUCCUUACCUUUAUCCACACCACAGUGUAGCAUUGCCCCUCCUUUGUUAAAAGCCUCAUACCUAAAAUACCUUUUUUUUUUCUUUUAAAAUUAGAGAUUUAGGGCCGUGCAGGUGCUCUUUAUUCCCACAUGUCUCUAUAUAUCUCCUUAUCCCAGAGAUGGAUUGCAGAACAAAGCCACUCACCUACAACGCUAUGAUCCAAUUACACACAAUUACUCUCACUUUGGCCCGUACGUAUCUUGGAUUUUAUAUAUUUAUUACCUUUGUUUUCCUCCAUUGGCUUUCUACUGUCCUAAGAGCAAGAGGGAAAAAAAAUUACACGCACACACCCAAAAGAAAAAAAAAAAAGACGAAAAAUAAUAGUUAAAAAAGGUAAAAACAAGCAAAAUGCGACCAGCCGCCCAUUUGAUCAGUCCGUGGUGAAGAUUGGUGCCUGAAUGCUUUAUUUGUUCCACAGAGGUGUAGAUUUCCCUUGGGAUGUUGGGGAAAGAUUUCUUAAUUAAAGGAUAAAAAAAUAAAAAGUAAAAAAUAAAGCAGUGAAACAGAACCAAAAAGGAAAGCAAUAUUAAUUAUUUAAAAAAAAGAAAAAAAAAAAAAGAAGAAGGCAGCUGACUCUGCCAGUGCAGUCGGGCAGGCACUGAAUUCAUUGCACCGAAAUGAGGACGGAUGAGCUGAACUGAGUGGCAGGGCUUAGUGCAGCUCCGGGAGGAGGGCUCAGCUCCUUGUCCCACUAUCCAGCGCCGCACACACCACCAUUUGUGUGCUUUUGUGCUUUAUUUCCAGCCCCGCGGGCUGCCCUACGUGAUGCACGGAGCGACGUGCGUGCCCCGCUGCUGUGCAUUCCUCUCCCUUUUAUUGCCUGCUCUAUGGCUCAGCUCGCUUUUUUUUUUCUCCCCCCUCUGCGGGCAGCAGGGUUGCUCUGCUUUCCUCUCCCCAGCUCGGCUGCUGAUUCCAGAAGUUUCUACAGCAAAGGAAAUGCACGGGGGAGGGGAGCACCUACUGCGGAGCUUUGCCGCAGCCGGGCAGGCGUGGAGGAGGAGGAGGAUGCGGAGGAUGCACCACCUCCCUCUCUCUCUUUCUCUUCCCCCCUCCCUCUCUCUUUGGUUCAGGACGCUUUCCAAGCCUCUCCCCCUCGCUACAUUUCCCCAUCCUUGCAGAGGGUGCUGGGAGGUGUUUGCAAGUUGUUUUUUUUCCUUCCCCCCCCCCCCCCACGCACACACACACUCCGUUUCCUCCCCCUUUGCUAAAUAAAUUAAAAGCAGAGAUGUCUCCUGAUGGAGAUGGAUGAGGCUGGGCUCACUUGCAUGCACUGUGCCCCAGCUCCGAUCUGCUGCUUAGGGCAGAAGUGACCUUUCCCAGGCAGUGGGAGGGAGCUUCCCCCCACCCUGCUAUGCUGCUGCUUGGAAUUCAUCUUACAUAGCAGCCUCAUUUUUUUUUUUUUAUCCCCCCCUCCAAAGAACAGCUUGCUGCUACAGUGAUUGUUUUUUAUUAUUUUUAUUUAAUUAUUAUUUUCAGCCCAUGUUGCAGCUUCCUUAUGAUCGUUUUGUGUGUGUGUGUGUGUGUGUAUGCUUUGAACUGCAUUUUAAAUUUGCCCAGCUGGAGACAAGUCUCGAUUAGAGCUGGAACAAUAGCUCCAUUUUAUUAAUAAUGGGAAGGAUUUACGAUUCUACAGCACCUUCCUUGGAAGGCUUUCAAAACCAUUUGCAAACUCUCACAAAUGUAAGCUUUCACAGCCCUGCCUGUGAGGUGGGUCACCAUGACUUCAAUGUGCACAGUCCAAGCAGUCACUUGUGAGCAAGGAGAGCAGGCCACUGUACCCUGUGGGAAUUGUACUACUUUUCUGUGGCAGUUUGGGAUAACUGAGGGCUCCCUUGGGAGUGUUGGACUUCUACCGCCACACGCUUUGGAUUGAAGAGUUACCAGAACGACAUCUGUGAGGUUUCCAAGCUAAACAAAACCUGAAUUUCUGGUGCAAAAAGCAAGUGAAUGAUAGAAACCUCUGCUCCUCUUCCAGCGGGGGGACACUGCAGCCUUUUAAGCUUUCCUAUUAUGCCAAAGAGGUAAAAAAGCAUAAGCGUGCAUUGUGUUAUGCAGUGCUAUUGGUGAUAUAAAAUGAAAGCCAAAGCUAGCCAAGAAACUGUUCUCCUUUCAAAUACAUCUCCACGCACAAGUACUUUUCUUCUUUGCCUUUCCCUGAAGUGAGAGAGCAAUAAGGGCACAAGCGUGCGCUCAGUCUGCUUCAUUUAGAACACAGUGAAGUGACUUCGGUGCCAACAUGAUGAAUCAAAAGCAUUGAAGAUAGCUGGCUUGCUAUUUAUUUUGCUCUGGGCAUGACAAUCAGAUGUGAUUGGGGAUGUGAAGAAGAACAGCCUUCAACUCACGGAGUUGCACUGUUUUAAACCCUUGUCCUGUGACUUCUCCAGCGUGAUUUCUGUCAUUCCUGCUGGGCAUUGCACGUGGGCCUUUUCAUGGAGAGGUAACGCACUGCAGCUGUGUGUUAAACAUGGCAACAUACAGGAUACAGUGAUCUCUCCACUCCCAGGAGCCUGGAAGACUGAAGCCCUCUGCCUAGAGGAUGAAAUGCUUCAUGUUUGGAAAAAAAAACUAGCAGGCUUUGUCUGUGACAGCUCCUUUCCUGUGGAUGUCCUUCCAGCCAGGCUGCCCGCAGUGUGACAGCAGUGACCCUGUGUGAGGUUUCUUUGAAGGACCUGGGAGACUGCGUGGCUUUUUCUUGUCCCUCGGAGGUGCUUCCCUGGCAGGGAGGGAGGAAAAUGAUUGGCAGUGCUGUCACAGGAGGCAUGCUUACCUGGCUAGGGGAAAGCUUGGUGUGGAAAAGCCAGCUGGUGCAUGGUUUGGGGAAGGAGAGGUUCCUUUCUCUCCAGAAUGGAAUCCCUUAAGGAAGGUAUAGACAAGCAGUUCCUGCUCCUGGGGCUUCUGGCUGGUUAAAACAAAGAGCUGAGCCCAUUUCCAUGGAGAAAUGUAUGAUAGAGCACGUUGCAGUGCUUUUCCUUGCGUGUGCGUGGCUUGGUCACACGUUUAACUAAUAGAUGGUUUGCAUGCAAGAGGUUAUUGCUUUUUUAUACUUUUAAUCAGUCUAUCUCCAUUGGGCAGAGCAGCUUCACAGCCACCAGCACGGGGGAAACUGAGGCACGGGGCUACAGUGGGAUUACAGGCAGAGCCGGGGAUAAGGCUCAGGUUUGCCGAGGCUCAGACCGACGUGCGUCAGAGGGCUGAUUAAAUGGAGAGAUUUGCAAAGGGAAGUGACCUAUAGCUCCACGGCCGGGACGGUGUGCUGGACUCGAUCCUUAUGGGCACCUUCCAACUCAAAGGGCAGUUUGGUCAGGGGAAGGGCUGGGUAAGCACGGCGAGCACGGCCGACAGGGAGCGAGAUGUGGUGAGCUCCUUCCAUUGCCUUAGCCUGGAGCACAGCCAACCCGCGGGGCUCAUCCAGCACUGAACUUUGGAGUCGUUGCAGAUAAACAGCGCUAUAGGCUAAUAAAAGGCUCUGCCACGCAGGGCCCGGUCUGCCCGCACCGCAAUGACUUUGUUACGUGCUGACUGCAGUGAGGGACGGCGCUGGGUUUGCCUUCUCCUGGCCUUGGAUGGAGAGGAGCGGGCAGAACCUCGAGGCCUUUUGCCCCGCACCCAUUUCUGCACGGCAGCCCUUUACAUUUCACAGCGUGCUCCAUUUUUUUUCCUACUCCUAUUCCUUUUGUAGCAUAGCCCCCCUUUUUUGCAACAGUCCCCCUUUCUUCCUUCGUACCGUAUGUUUUAUUUGCUUAUUUCUUUAUGUGCAAUCCCUUAAUCCAUCACCUUGCAUUGCAGCCCCGCUUUUCGGCAUGCAUCCCUUGCUUUCCACAACCCACCUCGUGCAUUUAUUACUUUCCAUCGCAGCUCCCGUUUCUGGCUCGCACCUCCUCUUUUUUUUUUUUUUUUUUUUUGCCGUGCUUCCUUUAUCUAUGACUUCCCAUCCCAGCCCUGUUUGUAUCUGCCAUACAGUCCCUCCGUCACGUCGCGUUACACCGCGCUCUGCCCGCUCCGCUCCCGCAGCCCUCCACCGCUGCGCUCCCCGCGCAUGCGCACUCCCCCUCCC
ensembl:lncRNA